rnacentral:rRNA from 1 species
GUUUGAUCAUGGCUCAGGAUGAACGCUAGCGACAGGCCUAACACAUGCAAGUCGAGGGGUAACAAGAUGUAGCAAUACAUUGUUGACGACCGGCGCACGGGUGAGUAACGCGUAUGUAACCUACCUUCUACAGGGGAAUAGCCCGGAGAAAUCCGGAUUAAUACCCCAUAACACAGGGACUCCGCAUGGAGAUAUUUGUUAAAGAUUAAUCGGUAGAAGAUGGGCAUGCGUUCCAUUAGCCAGUUGGUGAGGUAACGGCUCACCAAAGCAACGAUGGAUAGGGGAACUGAGAGGUUUAUCCCCCACACUGGAACUGAGACACGGACCAGACUCCUACGGGAGGCAGCAGUGAGGAGUAUUGGUCAAUGGGCGAGAGCCUGAACCAGCCAAGUCGCGUGAAGGAAGUCUGCCUUAUGGGUUGUAAACUUCUUUUAUAUGGGAAUAAAAAGAGUUACGAGUAACUUAUUGCAAGUACCAUAUGAAUAAGCAUCGGCUAACUCCGUGCCAGCAGCCGCGGUAAUACGGAGGAUGCGAGCGUUAUCCGGAUUUAUUGGGUUUAAAGGGUGCGCAGGCGGUUUAUUAAGUCAACGGUGAAAUCUAGAGGCUCAACCUCUAAACUGCCGUUGAAACUGGUAGACCUGAGAUAGAUAGAUGAUUACUAGUUGUUUGCGAUAUGAUAGCAAGUGACUAAGCGAAAGCGAUAAGUAAUCCACCUGGGGAGUACGCCGGCAACGGUGAAACUCAAAGGAAUUGACGGGGGCCCGCACAAGCGGAGGAACAUGUGGUUUAAUUCGAUGAUACGCGAGGAACCUUACCCGGGCUUGAAAUGCAUCUGACCGUAGUGGAAACAUUACUUCUAGCAAUAGCAGAUGUGUAGGUGCUGCAUGGUUGUCGUCAGCUCGUGCCGUGAGGUGUCGGCUUAAGUGCCAUAACGAGCGCAACCCACAUUGUUAGUUACUAACAGGUAGUGCUGAGGACUCUAACAAGACUGCCAGCGUAAGCUGUGAGGAAGGUGUGGAUGACGUCAAAUCAGCACGGCCCUUACGUCCGGGGCGACACACGUGUUACAAUGGAUGGUACAGAGGGUAGCUACCUGGUGACAGGAUGCUAAUCUCGAAAGCCAUUCCCAGUUCGGAUUGGAGUCUGCAACUCGACUCCAUGAAGCUGGAUUCGCUAGUAAUCGCGCAUCAGCCAUGGCGCGGUGAAUACGUUCCC